UACAGAGGCCCCAAGCGUUACUGAGAAUCACUGGGUUUAAAGGGUGCGUAGGCGGUCUUCUAAGUCAGUUGUGAAAUACUUCAGCUUAACUGGAGAGGUGCAAUUGAUACUGGAAGACUUGAGUACUGAUGAGGUAGGCGGAAUGGACGGUGUAGCGGUGAAAUGCUUAGAUAUCGUCCAGAACACCGAUAGCGAAGGCAGCUUACUAAGGAGUAACUGACGCUGAGGCACGAAAGUGUGGGGAUCAAACAGG
rnacentral:rRNA from 1 species